rnacentral:rRNA from 1 species
UUGAUCCUGGCUCAGGAUGAACGCUGGCGGCGUGCCUAAUACAUGCAAGUCGAGCGAACGGACGAGAAGCUUGCUUCUCUGAUGUUAGCGGCGGACGGGUGAGUAACACGUGGAUAACCUACCUAUAAGACUGGGAUAACUUCGGGAAACCGGAGCUAAUACCGGAUAAUAUUUUGAACCGCAUGGUUCAAAAGUGAAAGACGGUCUUGCUGUCACUUAUAGAUGGAUCCGCGCUGCAUUAGCUAGUUGGUAAGGUAACGGCUUACCAAGGCAACGAUGCAUAGCCGACCUGAGAGGGUGAUCGGCCACACUGGAACUGAGACACGGUCCAGACUCCUACGGGAGGCAGCAGUAGGGAAUCUUCCGCAAUGGGCGAAAGCCUGACGGAGCAACGCCGCGUGAGUGAUGAAGGUCUUCGGAUCGUAAAACUCUGUUAUUAGGGAAGAACAUAUGUGUAAGUAACUGUGCACAUCUUGACGGUACCUAAUCAGAAAGCCACGGCUAACUACGUGCCAGCAGCCGCGGUAAUACGUAGGUGGCAAGCGUUAUCCGGAAUUAUUGGGCGUAAAGCGCGCGUAGGCGGUUUUUUAAGUCUGAUGUGAAAGCCCACGGCUCAACCGUGGAGGGUCAUUGGAAACUGGAAAACUUGAGUGCAGAAGAGGAAAGUGGAAUUCCAUGUGUAGCGGUGAAAUGCGCAGAGAUAUGGAGGAACACCAGUGGCGAAGGCGACUUUCUGGUCUGUAACUGACGCUGAUGUGCGAAAGCGUGGGGAUCAAACAGGAUUAGAUACCCUGGUAGUCCACGCCGUAAACGAUGAGUGCUAAGUGUUAGGGGGUUUCCGCCCCUUAGUGCUGCAGCUAACGCAUUAAGCACUCCGCCUGGGGAGUACGACCGCAAGGUUGAAACUCAAAGGAAUUGACGGGGACCCGCACAAGCGGUGGAGCAUGUGGUUUAAUUCGAAGCAACGCGAAGAACCUUACCAAAUCUUGACAUCCUUUGACAACUCUAGAGAUAGAGCCUUCCCCU